rnacentral:rRNA from 1 species
UACGGGGGGGGCAAGCGUUGUUCGGAAUUACUGGGCGUAAAGGGCGUGUAGGCGGCCAACUAAGUCCGACGUGAAAUCCCCAGGCUUAACCUGGGAACUGCGUCGGAUACUGGAUGGCUUGAAUUCGGGAGAGGGAUGCAGAAUUCCAGGUGUAGCGGUGAAAUGCGUAGAUAUCUGGAGGAAUACCGGUGGCGAAAGGCGGCAUCCUGGACCGACAUUGACGCUGAAGCGCGAAAGCUAGGGGAGCAAACGGGG